rnacentral:lncRNA from 1 species
UGUUGUCUGUUCCUAGCUACGACACCAUAAGCAGCAAGUUUUCUUGAAGCAGCAAACAAGUUGCGAGAAAAUCAACAUUACUUUGGGACAUGUAAAAUAAAGAAGGAUGUUUGGGAAAAGAAGACUGGACCAUUUAAAAUUUCUAUUUCUUACGAAAUGGAUUUUGUUUCCAUCUACAGUUGAAAUGGCUGGCAUUUUUCCUGUCCGUCUCUCCAACUUUCAAGAAUUAUUUGUAUUCCAAUAAUUAUUUUUUCACAACUUCAUGCAGUUAUGCUACUUACUGUAUGUCAUUUUUCACAAUUUGUUUUACUUGGUUGAACAUGAAACAGAUAUCUUUUGGACAUGGUAGCUCGUGUGUAAUUUGACAAGUAGUAGCCGACGGUAACGACGAAAAUUUGUUUAUGGAACUGCAGUUAUCGACCGUCGAAUGAUGAUCUGCAACUCUAUGACUACAUUUAAUAGGGCACAACUCUAACCCUCAUCUCUAAAGGAAGAAUCAAAUGCUGAAAAGUGAAAACACUUCUCUUCUUGUCUCGAUUUUCAAGUUUAUUGUUCGUUUUAUCAAACUUGUAAUAUGUCAUUUUAAAAAUAGGGAGAAUUUGUGAAAUAACCAAGAAAAAAACCAAAAUUAGAUUUUUAGAGAGAGGGAUGAGAGAGAUAGGAAGGGAAAGGAAGAGAGAGAAGAAGAUUUUGGUUACUUAGCUAAUUUGAGUUUUUUGUUUGGUUAUGGGAUGCAAUUUCCCUUAAAAAUAUCUAGUGGAAGGAUCACACUUAGAAGCGUUUCAGUAUUUAAUUCAGCUAUAUACAACAUAGAUGGAUUUGUUUGAUAAACUUCAAGACAUGAUCUGGUAGAGACACUCGUAAGCUACACAGCGUACACUGAUGUGGUCGAUUAAGGAGAGAUUAAUAAUCUUCACAAAUGUUAAUAAGUGGACCGUAGCAAUUAUAGGCCCAUUUAUCCCAACUUAGGCCCAUUUAAAUUAAAAACGGUCAUCUACAUCGACGCUUCCUACUCAAGAGAACUCGUUCCCUUCUCCGCCGCAAACAUGAGGCUUCUUCGCCGCCGUUUCUUUAUCUUCACCGAUGGAAUUUCCGGAGCCAACCGGCGAAGAUACGCAACCAAGUAUGUCGCCAAGGUCACUUCAUCAUCUCCCUCCGGCCGUUCUCUGUCCGCCGAAGUUUCCCUUCCUAAUCCCCUCCCCUCCGACGUACGCGGCUACGCUCUCCCUCGGCGUCACCUCAUCUGCCGAGCAACCAAUCUCCUUCUCCGCCACGAAACCUCUUCAAUAGAGAAAGAGAAUGGAGAGUUGUGUGAAUUGUUGUGGAGAGACGUAUGAAUUGUUGCGAGAAAGAGAAUAAUAGAGAAAGAGAAUGGAGAAAAGUGUGAAAUGUUGUGAGAUAGAGAAAGUACAUUAAACACAGAAACAAAGAAACUUAAACAGUUAGACUUAUACUUAUAUAAAUUAGCUAGACAGAAAGUCAUUGAAUAGCUUCUGCUUGAGUGCUUCUUCAUAGUCAACAAGAGGUUCUUUUUCGCAAUCAGACUGUCAAGAAGAUUCAUCUUCGACAACCUUUCCUUCAUUGUCAAAUUUUGUUGUUUAAUAGACCACAUACUUUCAAACUCAUUCAGUGCAUUCUCCUCUGCCAAUGUCUUCUUACCGCGAGCCUUUGCGGCCUUAACACCCGGCGGACGCUUGUUCUCAGUAGCUUGAGAGCCUGACGAAGCAGCACCGUCAUCACACUUCAUCUUCUUAGAGAUCCCAUCGUUUUUAGCAGUAGCAAGGUCGCACCACUUCUGGUCGUCCCGGAGCUCCUUCCAAACGCGUUCCAGUGUGAAUUUCUUUUUAUGGUUAUUGUAGGAAAUUUGAUGAGCUAGUUUCAGAACGUCAUUAUCGUUUUGACCGCUACUCUUCUCUCUGCUUGCAUCUUCAAAGGCUCAACAAAACUUGCAAACAAGAUCAUUGAUCUUGUACCAUCGUUGCUUGCAAUGACUAGGCUCUCUCUGCUCGCAGCCAGCUACUGGAGGUCUUGCCGCAAAGUACGCUGCUACUCUUGUCCAGAAAGCGCCUGAUUUUUUCUCGUUGUUGACGACUGGAUUUUUGCUCGUGUUUAACCACGAGCUGAUGAGGAGAAUAUCAUUCGUUGGCGUCCACUUCCGUCGUUCUCUAUGCUCCAUAGCAGUCUCUCCACCAUCUUCGGUUCCUAGCGUGCUUUGAAACAAAGGUUGUGAUGAAGAUAGUGAGGCACUAUCUUCAUAGUUACCGAACGAAAUGCUUUGUUGACUAUGAAGUAGUUCAACAUAUUUUUAACUCUGGGUAGAUGGAUAAGAAUCCAUAUCCGAAGUAAGCUCAAGGAAGAGAGAAAAAAAGAAGAAAGUGGGAAGAGAAUCACACGGUUUGAACAAGGAAGAGAUAAAGAAAAGAAGUGAGGUGAGAAAGUAGGAAGAGAAGAGACACGAUUUAUGUAAGGAAGGGAAGGAUCAAUGCAUUGAUCACAACCACCCAUAACCGAGUAGACAUAUAUCUAAAAGCAUUCAUCACACAACCCCCUUCUACACAGAACACCAAAUCAAUUUAUUACCUAAACCUACCAUUAUCUCACACAAACCACUUAAACAUCUAUUUAAUACCUAACCUAACACAAAACUACAAUUCAAUUCUAUCCAGACAUGAGUAAAAAUCAACAACAAUCAUACCAUAUUUCACAAACCACCAACCAAUAUAUUUAUCAUGAUUAAUCCUAUUUAACAUAGCAAAGAAAAAGGUUUAAUCCAAUUCAAAAUUCAUUUCAAACAACCAUUAAAAUAAAAAACAAUCGCAUCAUAACUCACAAACCAACAACAAAUUUAAGCAAUGGUUUAUCUAAUUCAACAGAGCCAAGAGAAAGUUUAAUCCAAUUCAAAUGAUCAAAGAGAAAGGUUUUACCUUUAUGAACAAGAAGUGUGGAGUUUUGUCUGACAAAGAGAAAGGUUUAUCCUUGAUCGUGCCUCUUUCUCAAUCACUCGCAAGACACAAAAACAGAAAAAAAAUAUCAAAACAAAUCAGAGGACUGGACUUCUUAAGAUUCACGAUGAAAGAGCACAAUCAAAGACAUGCAUAAUUGAAAUAUUCAAACAUUAAAACAUAUGAACUCAUCUUUACCUUUCGAAUCACUGUUUUCCUUCGUUUCCGAGAGCCUCCACGAGAGAGAUCUCGCUGUUAUCCUUCGUCGAGAAGAGCAACCGAUAGAGGGGACGCCGUUUUACUUCGAGAGACGCCGAUUCGUUGAGAAGAGCCACCGACCGGGAGAAAUAUCGCUAUUUUCGUUGCCAAGGAGACGAGAGAAGGAAGAGAGAAAGAAGGAAAAGAGAGAAAAAGACGAAACCGUGAGACACCACCUCUCUUCUCUCCAAUGCUUUUGUUUUGACUGCUUAAUUAAGUGAAGGGUCUUACCUUAAUGACCGUUUUGUUCUUUUUUUUAAAUGAUAAAAUCAAAUGUAAGCUAAGAUAAACGUGCUCUUAAAAUUCUUAUUCUGAUAUAGUCGGCUCCGUGAACUAAUUCAUCUGAUGGGCCAACCCCAUAUAAACAUUUGGGCCUAUGAUAAGCAAUACGUAAGCAGCAAAACUCGCAGUCUCUCUCACCUUCUCAAUUCAUCUCUUCCCUUCCCUUCCGAUUUAGGGUUUCCACAGUCGCCAUGUAUCGCACGGCAGCUUCACGAGCCAGGGCUCUCAAGGUUUGUUACCUUAGCCUUUGAUCGUUUCACGAUUGAUGUUCUCUUGUAAGCGUCUGGAACCUUCGCGUAGUGAAUAGAUUCGUCCUGAUUCGGAUUAUUCUUAUUCCGAUUGAAUUACCCGCGACGAUGGGACUGUUAUUACUGCUUAGGCUUACGAGUGAUCGAGUCUUUGUUUCGCAGUUUCUGAAGUCAAAUCUAACUAGAAAUGGAUUUGCCUCUAUCGUUUCAAAUGGAUCGUAUUCUUGUUUUGUGAUAGGGAUCUCUUAGCCGGAGUUUGAGACCGGCGCGUUAUGCAAGUUCAAGUGCCGUUGCGACUAGUUCUUCUUCUUCUUCUCCAGGUUUCUUCAGCUGGUUGACUGGUGGAUCAUCUUCUUCGCUUAAUUCAUUGGACAUGCCACUACAGGGUGUGUCUCUUCCUCCACCACUUGCUGACCUUGUUGAGCCAAGCAAACUUAAGAUCACUACUCUCCCAAAUGGUCUCAAAAUCGCCUCCGAGAUGUCUCCCGUAAGUAAAUCUUAUGUUUACUUCUCUGAAGAUAGAAUCUUUUAAAAUGCGGUAAAUGAACUGAACGAAGUUAUUAUCUUGGUGUGUUAGAAUCCAGCAGCUUCCAUUGGUUUGUAUGUUGAUUGUGGUUCUAUCUACGAAGCUCCUUAUUUCCAUGGAGCAACGCAUUUGCUUGAGAGGAUGGCUUUCAAGAGCACGAGAAACAGGAGCCAUCUACGUCUCGUGAGGGAGAUUGAGGCUAUUGGAGGCAACACCUCCGCAUCUGCGUCUCGGGAGCAGAUGAGUUACACUAUUGAUGCUCUUAAGACCUAUGUCCCUGAAAUGGUUGAAGUUCUUAUUGACAGUGUGAGGAACCCUGCUUUCUUGGAUUGGGAAGUCAACGAAGAGGUGAUUCUCUUUUUUUCUCCUUUGUGGUUAUUUUAGUAACUCUUGUGAAAUUAUUUAUGUGACGUAUUGUCUUGUGGUUAUUUGGCAGCUACGUAAGAUGAAGCUAGAGAUAGCGGAACUUGCAAAGAACCCUAUGGGCCUUCUCAUGGAGGCCGUUCACUCUGCUGGUUAUUCCGGUGCAUUGGCGAAUCCUCUCUACGCACCUGAGUCUGCUUUGGACAGAUUGAAUGGGGAACUCUUGGAGGAGUUUAUGGCUGUAAGACCGCAUCAGCUUUUGAGAAUCUAUGUGAUUAAUGUCCUUAUUUGCUUACUCAUUUGAUAUGGGAAUUUCAGGAGAAUUUCACUGCUGCACGUAUGGUGCUGGCGGCAAGUGGAGUUGAACACGAGGAACUUUUAAAAGUUGUUGAGCCGUUGACUUCAGACCUUCCUAAUGUACCGCGCCAGGCGGAACCAAAAUCUCAGUAUACUGGUGGAGAUUUCCGCCAACAUACUGGUGGAGAGGUAAUCAUGACAGAUUUGCUUUCAUUGAACAAGUGUGUUUGAGAUGAAAGUGUAUUUAUGUCACAAUACUACGUGAGCUUAUUCUGUUCUGUCAUCUUCAGGCUACGCACUUUGCUCUCGCCUUUGAGGUUCCUGGCUGGAAUAACGAGAAAGAAGCAGUCAUCGCCACUGUUCUCCAGGUUUAACUUGAAUAUUUAAUGUUUGCUUGUGUCAAAAAUAUUUACUUGUUUUAAUCAAAUUCUAUUGACUGAAUAUAAUUUAAUUCGAAUUGCUAUUAGAUGCUUAUGGGAGGAGGUGGGUCGUUCUCUGCUGGAGGCCCUGGAAAAGGAAUGCACUCAUGGCUAUGUAAGUCAAUUCUUGUGUUUAUAUCGCUUUCUUGAGCUUUCUGUUUUCACGUUUGUUGAACUAGUUCAUUAGUUCUCAACCGAUCAGUAAUAGUGAUAAAAAUUCCUAUGUCUGUUUUUACAGAUCUCCGUAUUCUUAACGAAUACCAGCAAGUGCAGUCAUGCACUGCUUUCAGUAGCAUCUUUAACAACACCGGGUUGUUUGGAAUCUAUGGUUGCUCGGUUAGUUUAAGCAAUCCUGAUCUAUGCUCUUCCUUAUAAAUCAACUAUCCACUUAAUCUCAUUGAUUAUAGUUGUAAUUUGUGUGGGUAUUAAUACCUUCAACUUUAAGGAAUAUCGAUUUUGUGGGGGUAUUAGGCUAUGUCUUGUUUGUGUGACUUGACGACUUCUUUGCUUCAUAUGUGUUCUAGUACAUAUUUUGAUACGAUUUACAUCCAUGAGUGCAGAGUCCCGAGUUCGCUGCAAAAGCAAUUGAAUUAGCAGCUAAAGAAAUGAAAGAUGUUGCCGGAGGAAAAGGUUUGCAGUUUGUUUCUUCUGUUUUCUCCUAUUAUAAUCUUAACAAGUCGAAGCCGUUGUUUACAUCUGUUUAUUUGUUUGGACAGUUAAUCAGAAGCAUCUUGAUCGCGCCAAGGCAGCCACAAAAUCUGCAGUUCUGAUGAAUUUGGAAUCACGGGUAUUCUCACUACGAUCAAACCGUUUUGCUUGAAAAGCAUGUUUGUACGAUUCGAACCGAUUAGAUUUUACUAACGAGUUAAUGUAUGUCCUAUGCAGAUGAUUGCAGCAGAAGACAUUGGCAGGCAGAUUCUUACAUACGGAGAGAGGUACACGCAAAUGUCUUUUAGAAAAGAAAAAAAAUUAAAAACAGCGUAGUAUUCUUCUUGCGCAUACCCGUGUGUUUAUAAAUGAAUAAAUAUUGCAGGAAACCAGUUGAGCAAUUCCUGAAGACAGUUGAUGGACUAACCUUGAAGGACAUUACAGAUUUCACCAGCAAGAUUAUCUCAAAGCCUUUGACAAUGGGUUCCUUCGGAGAUGGUAAACAAGUUUUCACUCUUUUCUUACUAGUUUUAUAUACGUUUUUAAUGUCAAAAAAGUCAAGAUUUUGUGUUCUUUCUUUUGGCAGUGUUGUCUGUUCCUAGCUACGACACCAUAAGCAGCAAGUUUUCUUGAAGCAGCAAACAAGUUGCGAGAAAAUCAACAUUACUUUGGGACAUGUAAAAUAAAGAAGGAUGUUUGGGAAAAGAAGACUGGACCAUUUAAAAUUUCUAUUUCUUACGAAAUGGAUUUUGUUUCCAUCUACAGUUGAAAUGGCUGGCAUUUUUCCUGUCCGUCUCUCCAACUUUCAAGAAUUAUUUGUAUUCCAAUA